rnacentral:rRNA from 1 species
UACGAAGGGUGCAAGCGUUUAAUCGGAAUUACUGGGCGUAAAGCGCGCGUAGGUGGUUCGUUAAGUUGGAUGUGAAAGCCCCGGGCUCAACCUGGGGACUGCAUCCAAAACUGGCGAGCUAGAGUACGGUAGAGGGUGGUGGAAUUUCCUGUGUAGCGGUGAAAUGCGUAGAUAUAGGAAGGAACACCAGUGGCGAAGGCGACCACCUGGACUGAUACUGACACUGAGGUGCGAAAGCGUGGGGAGCAAACAGG